ACCCACAGCUGGAGCUGGAAUACCAGCUCUGCUUUAAUCUAAGCUCACGCAUACUUGGGCCCUUACUUUCUUGCACAGCCUGAAGCAGCCUGUGUCUUGUGGCCCUUAACUGACAGGUCUUUUCAGGAAACGCUGGAGCAGAAUGGCACCUGGCACUGCCCUUGUGUAUUUGGGACGGGAGCGCACCAACUGCAAAGCUAAAGGACACAGGAUUAAAACUUUCCACUGCAUUGAACAAAACAGCAGGCAAGUCCACUUGGAAGUUGGAAGCUGGCUUGGUGCAAGCAUGCAGACUUGGGCCGGACACCAGUCACAGCUACUCCACUGCAGGCUUCGGUCGUAUAUUGACUUUCUAGAGGCUGGCAAGUCCAAGAUCAAGGAGCUGGCAGAUUGGGUGUCUGGUGAGAGCAUGCUUCCUGGUUCACAAACCAUCUUGCUGUGCCCUCACGUGGCAGAAGGGAGGAAGUCUGGGGCUCCAUCCACGUGACCUCAUCACCUGUCCCUCCACAACCGUCACACUGGGGAUUAGGUGUCAAUGUAAGUAUUCUGG